GACGAACGCUGGCGGCGUGCUUAACACACGCAAGUCGAACGGUAAGGCCCUUCGGGGUACACGAGUGGCGAACGGGUGAGUAACACGUGGGUGAUCUGCCCUGCACUUCGGGAUAAGCCUGGGAAACUGGGUCUAAUACCGGAUAGGACCACUGCCUGCAUGGGUGGGGGGGGAAAGCUUUUGCGGUGUGGGAUGGGCCCGCGGCCUAUCAGCUUGUUGGUGGGGUGAUGGCCUACCAAGGCGACGACGGGUAGCCGGCCUGAGAGGGUGACCGGCCACACUGGGACUGAGAUACGGCCCAGACUCCUACGGGAGGCAGCAGUGGGGAAUAUUGCACAAUGGGCGCAAGCCUGAUGCAGCGACGCCGCGUGAGGGAUGACGGCCUUCGGGUUGUAAACCUCUUUCAGCACCGACGAAGCGCAAGUGACGGUAGGUGCAGAAGAAGGACCGGCCAACUACGUGCCAGCAGCCGCAGUAA
rnacentral:rRNA from 1 species